AACGAACGCUGGCGGCAGGCUUAACACAUGCAAGUCGAACGCCCCGCAAGGGGAGUGGCAGACGGGUGAGUAACGCGUGGGAAUCUACCCAGCUCUACGGAAUAACUCAGGGAAACUUGUGCUAAUACCGUAUACGUCCGAGAGGAGAAAGAUUUAUCGGAGUUGGAUGAGCCCGCGUUGGAUUAGCUAGUUGGUAGGGUAAUGGCCUACCAAGGCGACGAUCCAUAGCUGGUCUGAGAGGAUGAUCAGCCACACUGGGACUGAGACACGGCCCAGACUCCUACGGGAGGCAGCAGUGGGGAAUAUUGGACAAUGGGCGAAAGCCUGAUCCAGCCAUGCCGCGUGAGUGAUGAAGGCCCUAGGGUUGUAAAGCUCUUUCACCGGUGAAGAUAAUGACGGUAACCGGAGAAGAAGCCCCGGCUAACUUCGUGCCAGCAGCCGCCGUAA
rnacentral:rRNA from 1 species